UACGUAGGGGGGCAAGCGUUGUCCGGAAUCAUUGGGCGUAAAGCGCGUGUAGGCGGCCCGGUAAGUCCGCUGUGAAAGUCGGGGGCUCAACCCUCGGAUGCCGGUGGAUACUGUCGGGCUAGAGUGCGGGAGAGGCGAGUGGAAUUCCUGGUGUAGCGGUGAAAUGCGCAGAUAUCAGGAGGAACACCGGUGGCGAAGGCGGGUCUCUGGGCCGAUACUGACGCUGAGGAGCGAAAGCGUGGGGGAGCAAACAGG
rnacentral:rRNA from 1 species